GAUGUGACAUUUAUCAGAUGUUCAGUAUGCCACAUGGCAGCCCACCAAGUCUUCUCCCUCAGUGUCUUUUUUUCUUUUAGUUCGGCACGCUGUGGACUCCCUUCCUAAGCCCUCUCGAAACUUUCGGAUGCCUUCCUCCCCAUCUUACAGCUUCCCUCCCCACCAACCUCCACACCCCCUUGAUGUCUCCUCUAUUCUCCUCGCCGCC
rnacentral:lncRNA from 1 species